rnacentral:rRNA from 1 species
GAUGCAGCGACGCCGCGUGAGUGAAGAAGUAUUUCGGUAUGUAAAGCUCUAUCAGCAGGGAAGAAAAAAGACGGUACCUGACUAAGAAGCCCCGGCUAACUACGUGCCAGCAGCCGCGGUAAUACGUAGGGGGCAAGCGUUAUCCGGAAUUACUGGGUGUAAAGGGUGCGUAGGUGGCAUGGUAAGUCAGAAGUGAAAGCCCGGGGCUUAACCCCGGGACUGCUUUUGAAACUGUCAUGCUGGAGUGCAGGAGAGGUAAGCGGAAUUCCUAGUGUAGCGGUGAAAUGCGUAGAUAUUAGGAGGAACACCAGUGGCGAAGGCGGCUUACUGGACUGUCACUGACACUGAUGCACGAAAGCGUGGGGAGCAAACAGGAUUAGAUACCCUGGUAGUCCACGCCGUAAAC